rnacentral:rRNA from 1 species
GAUGACGCUGGCGGCAGGCCUAACACAUGCAAGUCGAACGAGUGGCGGACGGGUGAGUAAUGUCUGGGAAACUGCCUGAUGGAGGGGGAUACCUACUGGAAACGGUAGCUAAUACCGCAUACCAUCGGAUGUGCCCAGAUGGGAUUAGCUAGGAGGUGGGGUAACGUCUCACCUAGGCGACGAUCCCUAGCUGGUCUGAGAGGAUGACCAGCCACACUGUAACUGAGACACGGUCCAGACUCCUACGUGAGGCAGAAGUGGGGAAUAUUGCACAAUGGGCGCAAGCCUGAUGCAGCCAUGCCGCGUGUAUGAAGAAGGCAUUCGGGUUGUAAAGUACUUUCAGCGGGGAGGCGUUACCCGCAGAAGAAGCACCGGAUAACUCCGUGCCAGCAGCCGCGGUAAUAC